rnacentral:hammerhead_ribozyme from 1 species
AUCCAGCUGACGAGUCCCAAAUAGGACGAAAUGCGCAUCAAGCUGGAU